UGAGGAAUAUUGGUCAAUGGGCGCAAGCCUGAACCAGCCAUCCCGCGUGCAGGAAGACGGCCCUAUGGGUUGUAAACUGCUUUUCCAGGGGGAGAAUUUUUCUGUCGUGACAGGAAUUGACGGUACCCUGGGAAUAAGCAUCGGCUAACUCCGUGCCAGCAGCCGCGGUAAUACGGAGGAUGCGAGCGUUAUCCGGAUUUAUUGGGUUUAAAGGGUGCGUAGGCGGAUUGAUAAGUCAGUGGUGAAAUCCUGCAGCUUAACUGCAGAACUGCCGUUGAUACUGAUAGCCUUGAGUUUGGUUAAGGUAGGCGGAAUGUGUAAUGUAGCGGUGAAAUGCUUAGAUAUUACACAGAACACCAAUUGCGUAGGCAGCUUACUGAGCCGACACUGACGCUGAGGCACGAAAGCGUGGGGAUCGAACAG
rnacentral:rRNA from 1 species